UCAUACAAUUUCCAUACAGCUAAGGGGCAAUGGCCAACGGUCAAGAAAGAGAUCGCCGCUCCAUUACCAGAGCCAAAUUCUUCGCCGUUUACUUCAGAAUACGCCGCCGGUGGAGGAAGUUUCAUUAAUGGGUGCCUGAAAGCCUAAUUUCUCCACUGCCCGCUGCUACUUCAUAUGGCACUGCCGCCGUUGGCCGAGCUAAUGGGCAAUGGCCAACAGUCAAGAAAGAGAUCACCGCUCCAUUGCUUCGCCGUUUACUUCAGAAUACGCCGCCAGUGGAGGAAUUUCAUUAAUGGGUGCCUGAAAGCCUAAUUUCUCCACUGCCCGCUGCCUACUUCAUAUGGCACUGCUGCCGUUGGCGGAGGUAUUCAUGGAUCCCGGUAAGAAAACAACGGCAAAAAUUGUCUGCGAGUAAGUCAGUUUGUUUAAUCUAUUACUAUUAUACUGUUGAAUUCUAUAAAAGAUGUUAUAUGGGUAUUUCUCGGAAUUACAUUAUUGACUUUCAGGCCUACUUCUUUCUUGAUAUUAAUAUUGACUCACAUACUUCAAAUGUUGGAUACCGAUUCAUCUUAUCUGCGAUUUUUCUGGGUUUUACUGUCCGCUGAGUAGUUUAAUUGAUUUACAGCAGACUCUGUUUCAGUUUGAGUGGAUUCAUUUUUUUCCCAACAAAUUCUUAUUUGGGUCUUUCUUGGGUUGUUAGAUAUAGACGUACCUUUUAAUUUUUAUUAUGGAAGUAUUUGAAUUAUGCCCUAGAAUUUUGUGAUUUUUUUUCUUUUAUGGUAACUGUGAUUUUCUUUUGAUUUAUUACUUUUAUUCCUCUGAUUCAAUUUGUGAGAGUUGUUGCUUGUGAGGGAAUGAUAGUUUUCUUGUAGUCUUUUGUUUUCCGUGGAUAUAAUUUGGUUACAUUUACUAAGUGAGUUUUCAUUUUGAUGAUUGAUUUGCUGUGGUCUUUGUUCUCAAUUGUUUGUAAUCAAUAUACAAAUUCCCUCUUAUACUUUGGAUUGCUGUCCAUUUUGAGUUUCUUUAUGUUGUUGAGUUGUGUAGUGUUGCCGUUGGAUUUAACUCGGUUGCAUUUAUUUACUGAUUGGUCAUUUGAUGAUCAAUUCAUUGUGGUCUUUUUUUCCCAAUGUAUUUGGCUGGUUUGUUGAGAUGUUUUGUGUUGUUCGUGGACGUAAUUAAUUAUUUUUUUAUUUUUUCAUUUUUUUUGCAUUUACUUGGCGAUUGUUCAUUUUGAUUAUCAAUUCAUUGUGAUUUUUGUUUACCAAUGUAUUUGGCUGGUUUGUUGAGAUGCUCCAAUUUUUCGUCGAUCUAAUUUGGUUGCAUUUACUUUGUGAAUUUUUCAUUUCAAUGAUCAACUUAUUGUGGUUUGUUUUACAAUGUAUUUGGCUUGUUGUGAUGUUUUGUAUUGUUCGUGGAUGUAAAUUUUUUUUCUCUACUUGGUGAUUGCUCAUUUUGAUUGUCAGUUCAUUGUCGUUUUUGUUUACAAAUGUAUUUGGUUGGUUUGUUGAGAUGUGCUAAUUGCCCGUCGAUCUAAUUGGGUUGCAUUUGCUUUGUGAAUUGUUCAUUUUGAUGAUCAAUUUAUUGUGGUUUGUUUUACAAUAUAUCUGGCUUGUUGAGAUGUUUUGUAUUGUUUGUGGAUGCAACUUUUUUUAAUUUUUAAUUAAUUUAUUUUUUUGCUAUUUGAUGAUUAUUAAUUCAUUGUGAUUUUCUGUUACCAAUGUAUAUGGCUGGUUUGUUAAGAUGUGCUAAUUGUCCAUCGAUCUAAUUUGGUAGCAUUUACUUUGUGAGUUGUUCAUUUUGAUGAUCAGUUUAUUGUGGUUUGUUUUACAAUGUAUUUGGCUUGUGUUGAGAUGUGUUGUGUGUUCGUUGAUUUAAUAUUGUUGCAUUUACUUGGUAAUCUGUUCAUUUAGAUUCAAUCCAUCACGAUUUUUGUUUCCAUUGUAUAUGGGGCUGGUUUGUUGAGGUGUGUUAGUUGCACGUGAAUCUAAUUUAGUUGCAUUUACUCAGUGAUUGGUCUUUUUGAUGAUCAAUUCAUUGUGGUUUGUUUUACAAUGUAUUUGGCUGGUUUGUUGAGAUGUGAUAUAUGUGGAUUUAAUUUGAUUGUUCAUUUUGAUGACUGAUUCAUCGUGAUUUUGGUUUUCCAAUGUAAUUGGAUUGUUCAUUUUAAUUUGAUUGCUUGUUUUAAUUUUUGAUAUAUUGUGGCUCAAUAUAUAUUUCUGGGUUUCUUUUCCAUAUGGUCAUAAUGAUCUAACAGGUUUAUCAUUUUGUAUGAGGUGGAAACUUUAUUCUCAUAUGAGGUGAAAAGUUUGCCAGAUGCUUUGUAUUGGCAAUCAUUGUGAUUGGCUUACAAAUUGGAUAGCCUGUAUUUUGCUCAUGAAGCUUCAUUUGCUAACAUAGAUUGGGAAACAAAAUUGCCUAUAAAUACUAGACUUAUCUUUUCAGGUACACACACAUUAACACAUUAUUCUAGAAUAUUAUAUUAUUUCAUGUACCAUGUUCCCCAAGCCUCACAACCCUAUGAUGGUCCCCAGACCCAUCCUAUACAGUCCAGUCCCCCACAAUUUUGCAUUUCUAAACUCAUGAGAAUUUUCAGCAUUUGUUUUACUUACGAGUCCAAUCUGGCCUUUUAUUUCUCCACAAUUUUCAGCUUGUUUAAUGAAAUUAGCUUCUUGUAUUUGUUAAAGGCAUCCUAAGCUUCUUUUUAUUAUGUGAUUGCUGCGGCUUCUAUGAAGCAAAUAAUAGUUGCAAAGUGAUAUAAAGUGAUCGGUACAAAACGACUUUGUUUAUGUGAUUGAUUUCUUUCAAAGCGCGAACCACAUUUUUAUUCUUCGGUGUUCUUAAUUUUUGGUUCCACAAAUUUAAUUAGUUGUUGAAAUAUAUAAAAUAGUACAAUGAAAAUGUUUAGCUUGUUAUGUUGCUAGAAGAAAUGAUCUAAUACUUACUGAAAUCUACUUAAAAUUACUAGGGUUACUGAAUUAUGCUUGUUCUAUUGCACAUGACAUAUAAAUUUUAAUUUAAGAUAAGAUUCAUGUUUUGCCUAAAUAAAAGUCUAAAACGUUAUUACUAUAUCAUACCAUAUAUAUCUUUAUGUUCGUCUUCCCUUUUCUACUUGUCUGCUAUAGUCACCCCUGUACACCUGAUGGACUAGUAAAAUUUUAACCCAUUAAGUUAAUUUGAAAAGCUAACAACCGCCAAAAUGAACUCAUAGUUUAAACAUCGAACUAACAUAACUAUAAUAGUAAGAAUUAGGAAGUAUUUCAAAAAAAACUUCAACAUACCCUUCCGAGAGACGAGAGUGAGAGGCGGAGUUAUGGCAGAUAGCAAUUUUAAACAGAUGCAGUAAAGUUUUUUAUUACUUUUUUCUUCUUUCUGUUCAUUUUUAGUAAAUUUCUGAUUUUUUUACUUCUAAUGGUUUACCAUUUGUCAAGCAUUCUAUUUCUUUUACAAGGAGGCAGGUCACCUAGCUCUGUUAUACAGUCUUAAAGGACUAUUUCGAUUUCAAACCACUGUCCACUUUUAUCAAAUUUCUGAAAAAUUAUUGUGUUUCUCUAACUGCUUAUCAUUUGUCAGAGAAAUGUAUUUUCUUUGACAGGUAGGACAUACGGCUCAUUCAUACAGCCCUGAAGAAUGUUUUGCUGCAUGUAGCCUUUUCUAAGGUUUGCAGCUUUUGCUUACUUUUGUUGGAAGGUUUGGCAGAUGUUGAUAUUGAUGAUCAUUGCAAGUCUUUCAAGAUUAGGUUGAUUUAUUGAAUAGUUGGAUUUUGCUCAUGAAGCUUUAUCUACUCCAGCACAUUGGGAAACAAAAUCGCCAGUAAGACCCCUGUAGCGACCCCAGCCCUCCACUCUCCACAGUCCCAUUUCACAACCUACCAAAAUAUUGCAGAGUUGCAGUUCCAAACCUUGUUCCUUUUUAGUAAAUUUCUGAAAAAUUAUUUUUCUAUUCUCUUUAUAAUUUGUCAGAGCAUUAUAUUUUUUUGACAGGCUUGUUCAUACAGCCCUAAAGAGUGUUUUGCUAUGUCCAAAUGUAUUUAUCUGCAUUUAGAUCCUAGCAUUUUAUUAGGGACAAAGAAGAUUAGCUCAAUUCCUUCCUUACAUACGCUAGGUAUAUUUUUUGCUUCUGUUUAGCUCAGUGGCUGCUCCUAAACUCAAUUAGGUCACAAGGGCACGAAAUCCUCUUCCCAGAAAGAACCAAAAGAGAACUUCCAUUGGUAAAACUAAAGGAAAAGUAGGACCUUCUCUGUGACUUUUGAUGAAGAAGGACAUGGAAUCCAUUUUGACUCCGAAAUAUCAUCAGAUGGAGAUGACCUAUUUGCUAAUGAUAUUCUCUAAGGACGUGAAGAUGAAGAUACUGUGGUCCUUGCCACGUUAGGAUCCUAGGAGUUUCAAUAGGUAUUAUCUUAACGUAAUUGUAGUUUUCCAUUUUAAGGAAAAUUCAGAUGUAGAAUUAGAUUGUGAUGCAUCUGAUAUUGAGAAGUAAGCAAAGGCUAUUGAUAAGGAAAAGGCCAGCAAAAGCUGAAUUACAACUCAACAUCAAAGAAGAAGAUGACGUGUUCAGAUUGCCAAGGGAGGUAAAGUUCAUCAAUGCGUUUGGUUUCUGCUCAGAAUUUAUAGAUAUAAAUUGGCGAAACCUUUUGUUAUGUUAAGCUGUAUUUUUUCCACAAUAAUAUGGGAGCUCAAAGAAGAAGCGCACACAGACCAUUGAAGCUUCAAUCCCCCGGAAAGAUAUCCUGCGGCCAGACAUAAAUUUGUAACUACUUUCCUCCAUUAUCCUUAAACCUGAAAAGCUGGGUUGACUUUAUUGCCUGGUCUAUUGAGAAAGAUUACUUUUUGGCCAAGAAGUUGAUAGCGAGAUCUCAAAUCAAUUUAUUGGUCUUAUGGCAUGAAAUUCCACCAGGAAUGGAAGAAAUUGCCCCAGCUUUUUUAGUCGAAUUCUUUCUUAUUUUGCUGUUCGGCCAGGGAAAGAGGAUGAUCUCGUUUGCCUUAUCUCGUGCAAUAUGUAUGGUCUUGGACCAUCAAUAAUGAUUUUUCUUUAGAAUUCGGCUAUUUGAUUGAUCCACUUACUUAUAUUAUGUCAAUUUUCCAAUCGAUUGUUCUGCAAUAAUACUUAUAGCUUCUCCUAAUUCAACCAGGUCGCCAUGGAGAGUAAAUUUUUCUUUCUUGUUGGAUUUCUACUUUCUUUCCUUUAAAAUAGUUCAAGAUCAUACUAUAGAUACCAUGAGUUUCCAAUUGAAGCUUAGAUUGAGGUGAUUUAUCUAUUCCAAGAGCAGGGCUCUUUUCUUUUCCUCUUUGGUGUUUUUAUAUAGCACUUUUGGAGGAAUUUUGUAGUCUUUCUUCUG